rfam:Synechococcus sp. RS9916 scf_1100013018508 genomic scaffold, whole genome shotgun sequence.
CCGUUUCGAUUUGCUGGGGGCAGAUGAAAUGGAUGUGGGUGUCGAUGCCUCCGGCCGUGAGGAUGUGCCCUUCUCCGGCGAUGGCUUCCGUGCCGGGGCCCACCACGAUCGUCACCCCUUCCUGAGUGUCGGGGUUGCCUGCUUUGCCGAUGCCCACGAUCCGGCCGUCCUUGAGGCCGACAUCGGCUUUGACGAUGCCCCACCAAUCGAGGAUCAGGGCGUUGGUGAUCACCGUGUCGACGGCGCCCUCAGCGCGGGGGGUCUGGGACUGGCCCAUGCCGUCGCGG